GAUGAACGCUGGCGGCAGGCUUAAUACAUGCAAGUCGAACGGUAACAUGGAGGUAGCAAUACUUUUGAUGACGAGUGGCGGACGGGUGCGUAACGCGUGUGCAACCUACCCAUAAUUAGGACAAAACGUUGAGGAAUUGGCGCUAAUAUCCUAUGUGUAUAUAAUAAGGCAUCUUGAUAUAUAUAAAGAUUUAUUGAUUAUGGAUGGGCAUGCGUAUCAUUAGAUAGUUGGUAAGGUAACGGCUUACCAAGUCAAUGAUGAUUAGGGGUUCUGAGAGGAUAACCCCCCACACUGGAACUGAGAGACGGUCCAGACUCCUACGGGAGGCAGCAGUAGGGAAUCUUGGGCAAUGGAGGCAACUCUGACCCAGCCAUGCCGCGUGAAAGAAGACGGCCUUACGGGUUGUAAAUUUCUUUUAUUAUAGAGUAAUAGCGGGGACGUGUCCCUGUAUGAGAGUAUAUAAUGAAUAAGCAUCGGCUAACUCCGUGCCAGCAGCCGCGGUAAUACGGAGGAUGCAAGCGUUAUCCGGAUUUAUUGGGUUUAAAGGGUGCGCAGGCGGACUGAUAAGUCAAGGGUGAAAAGUUACGGCUUAACCGUAACCGUGCCUAUGAUACUGUCGGACUAGAGUGUAGAAGACGUAACUGGAAUGUGAUGUGUAGCGGUGAAUGCUUAGAGAUGUCACAGAACGCCGAUCGUGAAGACAGGUUACGAAUAUACAACUGACGCUCAUGCACGAAAGCGUGGGGAUCAAACAGGAUUAGAUACCCUGGUAGUCCACGCUGUAAACGAUGAUCACUCGUUGUUGGGCUGUAAAGCUCAGCGGCUAAGCGCAAGCGAUAAGUGAUCCACCUGGGGAGUACGAUCGCAAGGUUGAAACUCAAAGGAAUUGACGGGGGCCCGCGCAAGCGGAGGAGCAUGUGGUUUAAUUCGAUGAUACGCGAGGAACCUUACCCGGGCUUGAACGUAAGAUGAAUAUAGAGGAAACUCUAUAGCCUACGGGCGUCUUGCGAGGUGCUGCAUGGUUGUCGUCAGCUCGUGCCGUGAGGUGUUAGGUUAAGUCCUGCAACGAGCGCAACCCUUACACAUAGUUGCCAGCACGUAAUGGUGGGGACUCUAUGUGAACUGCCUACGCAAGUAGCGAGGAAGGUGGGGAUGACGUCAAAUCAGCACGGCCCUUAUGUCCGGGGCUACACACGUGCUACAAUGGUAUGUACAGAGGGCAGCGACCACGCGAGUGGAGGCCAAUCCUCAAAACAUAUCUCAGUUCGGAUUGGAGUCUGUAACUCGACUCUAUGAAGUUGGAUUCGCUAGUAAUCGCGCAUCAGCCAUGGCGCGGUGAAUACGUUCCCGGGCCUU
rnacentral:rRNA from 1 species